GGCCUAUUCGGCUACAGGCAUUAGACUUAACUGUUCAUGUCUGUGGCCACACAAGUCUUCUUAUUUUUAAAAACAAAUAUGUACAGAUGUUGACAGAAUACCUUAAUUUAAGUAAUAUUUAACCAAGAGUAUUUCUGGUUUUAUUCAAAUAAGUAACACUUGUCUUACAUUACGGGUAAGAAGUUGUGUACUUUGUCCACCCUGCUCCUUGCUGACCACCUAAACCUAAAAGAGGCUGGGAAGAAAGGUAUUUCUGAGCCGUCCAUCUGCUGCCUCUGUUUCUCGCCUGCUCAGGACUUACAGCUUGUCCCAGAAGCAUUUCAUGAAGAAUCCACAUUCACACACUGCAAGUGACAAAGAAAUUGACCAGAGACCUCUGCAUCUGUUAAGCACUGAGUAUAUUUAGCAUUACAGGGUAGAGGUCAGAUGUUCAUUCUCUUGCUGUCUCUUUCUUUCCCACACAUAUGCUACAAAUACACUCAGUGCUCAUUCUUUAAGGUCCACCUAACUUACAGAUUGUAAUUCAUCUGUUUUGCUGCAUACAUUCUUAGCCCCCUUUCACUGUGGUUAUGACCCCGACAGGACCACCACAAAGCAAGUGUAAUUUGGGUGGUGGAUCAUUGUCAGCACUGAUGUGGAUCGGGGUAUGUUAGUGUGUGUUGCACUGGUACGAGUGGAUCAGACACAGCAGUACUUAAACACCCUGUCCAUCACUGUCCACUCUAUUAGGCACUCCUACCUUCUGGCCACUUUCUAUGUAUAAAGUUACAAAUUAUAGCGUAUCUUCAUCUGUUGCACAGUGUGUGUUGGUCAUCCUCUAAUCCUUCAUCAGUGGUCACAGGACGCUGUUGGCAGGAUGUUUUUGAUUGGUGGACUAUUCUCAGUUCAGCAGUGACACUGAGGUGUUUAAAAACAUUGUUGUAUCUGAUACACUAGUACCAGUACCAUACACACAACCAUGUCAGCACCGCUACAGUGCUGUGAAUCAAAUAACAAUAAUACCUGCUCUGUGGUGGUCUUGUAGGGGUCCUGGUCUUUGAUGAACGGGGUGGAAUUGGCUUAACAAGUUAUAUACAGAAGCAGCUGAACUACAGUGUUCAAUUUAAGAUCUACAAAGUGCACCUUAAUAUUAAGUGGACCUGAUUUAAUGGAAAAUGAGUGUAGAUACAAGGUAGCUGUACCUAAUAAAGUGGCCAGUGAGUUUAUACAUAUAAGCAUGAUGAUGUACUGCGCAUGACAGUUUUUUGUAAACACCAUCGUAACUUUAUUUACCUGUGUAUUUUCUAUUCCAACCGUGUGUCUGACUUGUGUGCAAAAUUUGUUUAGACAAUUAAAGCAAUUGUUUCAGAAAGAUUUCUGAUGUAAUCAGUUAAUCAGUUCAUACAUGCAUACAGGUGGACACAGCUGAGCUUUAAGAAUUGUUACCUUUUCAAGACGUGGUAGAGUACAACGUGGCUUCAUACCUGAUGAUGCACAUUAAUUUUUAAACCUGUGGAAGUUGCUUGCUCAGGUGUGUUCACCUAUGUUGUACUGUCUACACUGGGAUUGGACUUGCCUGGUCUCUUCUGAGUGGUAAUGUUUACCUUAAAUAAUUGAGGAAAGCGGUGAGAAAGAGCAAUUUGGUUUUCUUAUGAGCUUGUUUGAAUCCUCUGCUAUGCUCGGUCUGUUACAUCUGAGCAGAUGCUUUUGAUUGAGCUGGGCUUUUGAUUAAUAAAGAAAGCAGUUUAGAUGUAUGCAGAAAGUAAUUGGAUGUGAAAAAAAAAAUUCCAAAUAAAAUGUUUCAAUAUAUGUUUAAUUAUAGGAUAAGCAUAAUGUAAUUAUACAAUAAAUAAUAGUUAUUUUUGUGUAAGUAAUAGUCACAAUGUAAAUAUUUUUUAGUUACCAGAAUCAGGCCAGUCCUGGCGCAGUGUUGUUAAAAGAUAUAGUGGAAAUGUAUUAGUUUAUUAAUAAUUUUUUUAGUUUAUUAAACCAUUUUUUAGUUUUGGAACCCAGUGUAAAUGUAAAGUUAAUUAAGUUAAUGUAAAGAAGUGACGAACUAACUUAAGCAGUUUGGCCCACUGUUUGUCAGUGUUGAUCUUUAAGUCUGUGCAACAAUGGAACAAAAAGUUGAAUAAACUCUUAAAGCUGUGCAAACAAGUUACUAAGUAAUUUCAAGUUUGGCCGCCUUAACAUUUAUUCACAGUGUACCAAAAGUUCCGCUGUAAGUCAGGGAAGAUGAGAAACUUCAAGGACAUAAAAUCUUUGCCAGCUCUUACUGGAACCCAAACAUGACUCCAUGACAUAACGAACUGCGUUCGUUACCCUGAAAUGCAAUUCUUUUGUGGGCUCCCUUACAUUUACAGCAGUUUGCUGACGCUCUUAUCCAGAGCAAUUAUCAAUUUGAUCAUUGUA